UCGGUGGUGCCGGGCUGGGCGGUACAGGCGGCGCGGGGCUGGGCGGCACAGGUGAAGGGGGCGCAGGUGAGGGCGGAGGAGAUGGCGAUGGUGGACGAGGUGAUGGCGGCUCUGGGCUUGGCGGCGCAGGGCUCGGAGGCUCGGGGCUGGGCGGCACAGGCGAAGGAGGCGGGCUGGGAGGCGUAGGCGGAGGCGGCGGGCUGGGACACGUCGCCGGAAUCUGCGUGCCGUUGUACACAUACACCGCAGACGGCACCGCGCCGCACAUCAGCGAGUUGCCGCUGAGGUCCACACGGAACAGACCCGUCAGCACGCUCCAGCCAGAGGGAACAGGCCCGGUUAGCAGAUUCCCGCUCAAGUCCAGCGUGCGCAGGUUGCUCAGCGCAGACCACUCGGCAGGCAGCUGGCCAGAGUACCGGUUGCCCAGCAGCUCCAGGCGAGUCAGAGACGUCAGGACACUCCACGACCGCGGUAACGUGCCCGUCAGGCUGUUGUUGGUGGCGCGAAUGGUGCUCAGGCUGGACACGAACGCCCACGACUCCGGCAAGGAGCCCGUGAGGUUGCGCUGGUUCAGCACCACCGUGGUGGGCUGUCCUGCCGUGCACGACACGCCCGUCCACGCAGCCGUGCAGGGGUCGCUGCUGGUGUUCCAGCCCAGAAUCGCAGCCGGCAACGGACUGGCCGUCACCCGCAGGUCCGCAAGCGCAUAGCCAAACGAAGGCGGAGGUGGAGACGGAGGCGCCGGCGAUGGAGGGGCAGGGCUGGGAGGCGCAGGGCUGGGAGGCACAGGAGGCGGAGACGGCGGGGACGGGCACGCCAGACCAACCUGCGUGCCGCUGCUCGUCACCGGACUGCCAGCAGCCCACGGCGUGGGGAUGCUGCCACACAGUGCGCCGUUAUUGUCCAGCCACAGGAGCUGCAGCGCGCCCAUGCCGCCAGGACCAGCCCAGGCGGCCGGAAUGGUCGAGUAGAAGCCGUUGCCCGACAGGUCCAGCUCCGUCAGACGCGUCAGCGCGGACCAAGACACAGGCAGCAGGCCGCCGAGGCCCGGCCCGUUGUUGGCCACGCUGACGUACUCCAGCUGCGUCAUCUGGGAGUACGAGUCCGGAAGCGUGCCCGUCAGCGUGUUGCCGCUCAACGUCACUGAGCGCAGCGUGCGCACUUGCACCAGGCUGGCCGGCAGGGGGCCAGCCAGCCGCGGCGAGGUGGACGGCAGGCUCAGGUCCACCACGUUGCCGCUGCCGUCGCAGCUGACGCCGUACCAGCUGGUGCAUGGGUUCGGAUGCAUCACGUCGUCCCAUGUGCUGAGCGCCGUGGAGUUGCCCAGCUCGUAUUUGACCUGCAGCAGCGCGUUGGCUGCAGUGGGCGGAGCGGGCGGCGCCGGGCUGGGCGGCGCGGGGCUGGGCGGCCGCGGGCUAGGCGGGUCCGGGCUGGGUGGCGUGGGGCUGGGUGGUGCCGGGCUGGGCGGUACAGGCGGCGCGGGGCUGGGCGGCACGGGCGAAGGGGGCGCCGGUGAGGGCGGAGGAGAUGGCGCUGGCGGCUCCGGGCUGGGCGGCAUGGGGGACGGCGGCUCUGGGCUGGGCGGUGCAGGUGAAGGGGGCGCUGGAGACGGCGGCACAGGAGGCGCAGGGCUCGGCGGUACCGGAGGUGCCGGUGACGGUGGCUCUGGGCUGGGCGGUGCAGGUGAAGGGGGCGCUGGAGGCGCAGGGCUGGGAGGAACAGGCGGCGCAGGGCUCGGGGGCGCUGGGCUGGGCGGCACAGGCGACGGAGGUGGGCUGGGAGGCGUAGGCGGAGGCGGCGGGCUGGGACACGUCGCCGGAAUCUGCGUGCCGUUGUACACAUACACCGCAGACGGCACCGCGCCGCACAUCAGCGAGUUGCCACUGAGGUCCACGCGGAACAGACCCGUCAGCACGCUCCAGCCAGAUGGAACAGGCCCGGUCAGCAGAUUCCCGCUCAGGUCCAGCGUGCGCAGGUUGCUCAGCGCAGACCACUCGGCAGGCAGCUGGCCAGAGUACCGGUUGCCCAGCAGCUCCAGGCGAGUCAGAGACGUCAGGACACUCCACGACCGCGGUAACGUGCCCGUCAGGCUGUUGUUGGUGGCGCGAAUGGUGCUCAGGCUGGACACGAACGCCCACGACUCCGGCAAGGAGCCCGUGAGGUUGCGCUGGUUCAGCACCACCGUGGUGGGCUGUCCUGCCGUGCACGACACGCCCGUCCACGCAGCCGUACAGGGGUCGCUGCUGGUGUUCCAGCCCAGAAUCGCAGCCGGCAACGGACUGGCCGUCACCCGCAGGUCCGCAAGCGCAUAGCCAAACGAAGGCGGAGGUGGAGACGGAGGCGCCGGCGACGGAGGGGCAGGGCUGGGAGGCGCAGGGCUGGGAGGCACAGGAGGCGGAGACGGCGGGGACGGGCACGCCAGACCAACCUGCGUGCCGCUGCUCGUCACCGGACUGCCAGCAGCCCACGGCGUGGGGAUGCUGCCACACAGUGCGCCGUUGUUGUCCAGCCACAGAAGCUGCAGCGCGCCCAUGCCGCCAGGACCAGCCCAGGCGGCCGGAAUGGUCGAGUAGAAGCCGUUGCCCGACAGGUCCAGCUCCGUCAGACGCGUCAGCGCGGACCAAGACACAGGCAGCAGGCCGCCGAGGCCCGGCCCGUUGUUGGCCACGCUGACGUACUCCAGCUGCGUCAUCUGGGAGUACGAGUCCGGAAGCGUGCCCGUCAGCGUGUUGCCGCUCAACGUCACUGAGCGCAGCGUGCGCACUUGCACCAGGCUGGCCGGCAGGGGGCCAGCCAGCCGCGGCGAGGUGGACGGCAGGCUCAGGUCCACCACGUUGCCGCUGCCGUCGCAGCUGACGCCGUACCAGCUGGUGCAUGGGUUCGGAUGCAUCACGUCGUCCCACGUGCUGAGCGCCGUGGAGUUGCCCAGCUCGUAUUUGACCUGCAGCAGCGCGUUGGCUGCAGUGGGCGGAGCGGGCGGCGCCGGGCUGGGCGGCGCGGGGCUGGGCGGCCGCGGGCUAGGCGGGUCCGGCCUGGGUGGCGUGGGGCUGGGUGGUGCCGGGCUGGGCGGUACAGGCGGCGCGGGGCUGGGCGGCACGGGCGAAGGGGGCGCCGGUGAGGGCGGAGGAGAUGGCGCUGGCGGCUCCGGGCUGGGCGGCAUGGGGGACGGCGGCUCUGGGCUGGGCGGUGCAGGUGACGGGGGCGCUGGAGACGGCGGCACAGGAGGCGCAGGGCUCGGCGGUACCGGAGGUGCCGGUGACGGUGGCUCUGGGCUGGGCGGUGCAGGUGAAGGGGGCGCUGGAGGCGCAGGGCUGGGAGGAACAGGCGGCGCAGGGCUCGGGGGCGCUGGGCUGGGCGGCUCCGGAGAAGGCGGCACAGGAGGCGCAGGGCUGGGAGGAACAGGCGGCGCAGGGCUCGGAGGCGCUGGGCUGGGCGGCACAGGCGACGGAGGCGGGCUGGGAGGCGUAGGCGGAGGCGGCGGGCUGGGACACGUCGCCGGAAUCUGCGUGCCGUUGUACACAUACACCGCAGACGGCACCGGGCCGCACAUCAGCGAGUUGCCACUGAGGUCCACGCGGAACAGACCCGUCAGCACGCUCCAGCCAGAGGGAACAGGCCCGGUCAACAGAUUCCCACUCAGGUCCAGCGUGCGCAGGUUGCUCAGCGCAGACCACUCGGCAGGCAGCUGGCCAGAGUACCGGUUGCCCAGCAGCUCCAGGCGAGUCAGAGACGUCAGGACACUCCACGACCGCGGUAACGUGCCCGUCAGGCUGUUGUUGGUGGCGCGAAUGGUGCUCAGGCUGGACACGAACGCCCACGACUCCGGCAAGGAGCCCGUGAGGUUGCGCUGGUUCAGCACCACCGUGGUGGGCUGUCCUGCCGUGCACGACACGCCCGUCCACGCAGCCGUACAGGGGUCGCUGCUGGUGUUCCAGCCCAGAAUCGCAGCCGGCAACGGACUGGCCGUCACCCGCAGGUCCGCAAGCGCAUAGCCAAACGAAGGCGGAGGUGGAGACGGAGGCGCCGGCGACGGAGGGGCAGGGCUGGGAGGCGCAGGGCUGGGAGGCACAGGAGGCGGAGACGGCGGGGACGGGCACGCCAGACCAACCUGCGUGCCGCUGCUCGUCACCGGACUGCCAGCAGCCCACGGCGUGGGGAUGCUGCCACACAGUGCGCCGUUGUUGUCCAGCCACAGGAGCUGCAGCGCGCCCAUGCCGCCAGGACCAGCCCAGGCGGCCGGAAUGGUCGAGUAGAAGCCGUUGCCCGACAGGUCCAGCUCCGUCAGACGCGUCAGCGCGGACCAAGACACAGGCAGCAGGCCGCCGAGGCCCGGCCCGUUGUUGGCCACGCUGACGUACUCCAGCUGCGUCAUCUGGGAGUACGAGUCCGGAAGCGUGCCCGUCAGCGUGUUGCCGCUCAACGUCACUGAGCGCAGCGUGCGCACUUGCACCAGGCUGGCCGGCAGGGGGCCAGCCAGCCGCGGCGAGGUGGACGGCAGGCUCAGGUCCACCACGUUGCCGCUGCCGUCGCAGCUGACGCCGUACCAGCUGGUGCAUGGGUUCGGAUGCAUCACGUCGUCCCACGUGCUGAGCGCCGUGGAGUUGCCCAGCUCGUAUUUGACCUGCAGCAGCGCGUUGGCUGCAGUGGGCGGAGCGGGCGGCGCCGGGCUGGGCGGCGCGGGGCUGGGCGGCCGCGGGCUAGGCGGGUCCGGGCUGGGUGGCGUGGGGCUGGGUGGUGCCGGGCUGGGCGGUACAGGCGGCGCCGGGCUGGGCGGCACGGGCGAAGGGGGCGCCGGUGAGGGCGGAGGAGAUGGCGCUGGCGGCUCCGGGCUGGGCGGUGCAGGUGAAGGGGGCGCUGGAGACGGCGGAACAGGAGGCGCAGGGCUCGGCGGUACCGGAGGUGCCGGUGACGGUGGCUCUGGGCUGGGCGGUGCAGGUGAAGGGGGCGCUGGAGGCGCAGGGCUGGGAGGAACAGGCGGCGCAGGGCUCGGGGGCGCUGGGCUGGGCGGCUCCGGAGAAGGCGGCACAGGAGGCGCAGGGCUGGGAGGAACAGGCGGCGCAGGGCUCGGAGGCGCUGGGCUGGGCGGCACAGGCGACGGAGGCGGGCUGGGAGGCGUAGGCGGAGGCGGCGGGCUGGGACACGUCGCCGGAAUCUGCGUGCCGUUGUACACAUACACCGCAGACGGCACCGGGCCGCACAUCAGCGAGUUACCACUGAGGUCCACGCGGAACAGACCCGUCAGCACGCUCCAGCCAGAGGGAACAGGCCCGGUCAACAGAUUCCCGCUCAGGUCCAGCGUGCGCAGGUUGCUCAGCGUAGACCACUCGGCAGGCAGCUGGCCAGAGUACCGGUUGCCCAGCAGCUCCAGGCGAGUCAGAGACGUCAGGACACUCCACGACCGCGGUAACGUGCCCGUCAGGCUGUUGUUGGUGGCGCGAAUGGUGCUCAGGCUGGACACGAACGCCCACGACUCCGGCAAGGAGCCCGUGAGGUUGCGCUGGUUCAGCACCACCGUGGUGGGCUGUCCUGCCGUGCACGACACGCCCGUCCACGCAGCCGUGCAGGGGUCGCUGCUGGUGUUCCAGCCCAGAAUCGCAGCCGGCAACGGACUGGCCGUCACCCGCAGGUCCGCAAGCGCAUAGCCAAACGAAGGCGGAGGUGGAGACGGAGGCGCCGGCGACGGAGGGGCAGGGCUGGGAGGCGCAGGGCUGGGAGGCACAGGAGGCGGAGACGGCGGGGACGGGCACGCCAGACCAAUCUGCGUGCCGCUGCUCGUCAC
rnacentral:lncRNA from 1 species